rnacentral:lncRNA from 1 species
CCUCGAGUCGUGUUUUAGGUCCCUUUGGGCCGUCUUCCGACUCGAAGCGUUUACUACGAUUUCUUUCGAUAAGGAACGAACUUUCGGAAGUAUUAAUCCGCAAAGUUUGAUAGAUGAUUUAAAAUAGCAGAAAUUAUAGAUUGAGCUCGCUACGGUCUUCGGGAGAUAGCAUUUGAAGGUUUGACGAGAAUGCAUGGACUGGUGUCGUCUCGACAUUUCGGAUGAGCUUGGUCGCCGGGCAGCGAC